GAUGAAUGCUGGCGGCGUGCCUAAUACAUGCAAGUCGAGCGAACAGACGAUGAGCUUGCUCCUUUGACGUUAGCGGCGGACGGGUGAGUAACACGUGGAUAACCUACCUCUAAUACUGGGAUAACUUCGGGAAACCGGAGCUAAUACCGGAUAAUAUAUUGAACCGCAUGGUUCAAUAGUGAAAGACGGUUUUGCUGUCACUUAUAGAUGGAUCCGCGUCGCAUUAGCUAGUUGGUAAGGUAACGGCUUACCAAGGCAACGAUGCGUAGCCGACCCGAGAGGGUGAUCGGCCACACUGGAACUGAGACACGGUCCAGACUCCUACGGGAGGCAGCAGUAGGGAAUCUUCGGCAAUGGGCGAAAGCCUGACGGAGCAACGCCGCGUGAGUGAUGAAGGUCUUCGGAUCGUAAAACUCUGUUAUUAGGGAAGAACAAAUGUGUAAGUAACCAUGCACGUCUUGACGGUACCUAAUCAGAAAGCAACGGCUAACUACGUG
rnacentral:rRNA from 1 species